GACGUAGGGAGCGAGCGUUGUCCGGAAUUACUGGGCGUAAAGAGCUUGUAGGCGGGACCGUAAGUCCGAGAGGAAAUCUCAAGGCUCAACUUUGGGGCUUUCUUGGAUACUGCGGUUCUUGAGGAUGAGAGAGGUAAGCAGAAUUCCCGGUGUAGCGGUGAAAUGCGUAGAUAUCGGGAGGAAUACCAGUGGCGAAGGCGGCUUACUGGCUCAUUCCUGACGCUGAGGAGCGAAAGCGUGGGGAGCAAACGGG
rnacentral:rRNA from 1 species